rnacentral:rRNA from 1 species
AUGACCCUGACCGUCGUGAACCCGAUCUGGCCGGGCAUCCAGGGGAACGCCGGCAGUGAGGUCCUGGAGGGGGGCGGCUUCUUCCUCCCGUCGCUCUCCCACCGCUCCUUCCCGUCGCUCUCCCACCGCUCCUUCCCGGCGCCCACCCACGCCUGGUCCAGCCGCAUCUGGGCGCGCACCGGCUGCGCGACAGGCGACUGCGGCGGGCGGCUCCAGUUCUCCACCGCAGGUCUCCCUCCACCACGGCGGCAACGAGCAAUCGUCCUACGGGGUGAGCGUGGUGGACGGGUUCAACGUGGGCCUCUCCGUGACCCCGCACAAGGGCCGCGACAACUGCCCCGUCUUGGCCUGCUGCAAGGACCUGACCCAGAGCUGCCCGGGCGAGCUGCCUGUGCGUACAUGAUGUUCAUCCUCGGCUUGUCACACACGCAAUCUUCUCGGCUUAAUUCCAUCUCUUCCCCAAUUGGAAACAAAUCAGCCUGA